GCGGAGACGGACGUUGCUAGAAUAUCUCCCUGUUAAGUCCGUGUUUCUCUUUUUUCUCUUUUUUUCUGUGUUUGCGUGUGUGUGUGCCCACGUCAAUGAACUGACCAUUAGGAUAACCACACAGCAUAGUUCCCCCGGUGCUAUGAAGGCGUGGACUCCCAUUUGAAACGUGAAAAGUGAAAAAUAACGUGGCCUUUGACUCGCGACUGGAAGAGUGACUGUUGCUGUGCCCCGCCCACCUGCUGCUGCUGCUGUGGUGCCAGUGUGCGGUGCCUGUGGAGUGUGGUGCAUGGUGGAGGCGCAGAGCGAGGGAGGGGCGCGGCGCUGCUCUCCCAUGCAUAGUUACUCUCUCUCUCUCUCUCUCUCUCUCUCUCUCUCUCUCUCUCUCUCUCUCUCUCUCUCUCUCUCUCUCUCUCUCUCUCUCUCUCUCUCUCUCUCU